AUGGCGCAGCCGGACGACGGCGACGAGGCACCAGAGCAAUCAACAUAUAUGGCAGCACAUCCAUCGGGACCUCCUCUGCCCACAUCUCCAUUCAUGCAGUCGCCAUGGAACACAGUUCCACCAUGGACGAGCAGCGCAACAAGAAACGGUCAGGAGUUUCAAGAUGGAAAUAUGGCAGCCCAUCCAUCGGAACCUCCUCUACCCACACCUCCUCCACUAAUGCAAUCGCAGAACACAAUUCCACCGAGGAUGAGCAGCACAGCAAGGAACGAUCAGGAUUUGCAAGAUGAAAAUAUUGUUCCAAGAGUUGGGAAGACCUUUCAGUGUGAGGAAGAGGCAUAUCAAUUUUACAAUUCUUAUGCUCAAACCAAAGGAUUCAGCAUUAGGAAGUGCCACCUUAAGCAUAGAGGAGAUGGGACUUUAAGUUCUAGAUAUUUUGUUUGUAGCAAGGCAGGUGUGAAGGGCACUCAUCCGACACAUGUAGCCAAGAAAGAACAAGCUAAUUCGAGAACUGAUUGCAUGGCUCGUGUUCAAUUCAGCAUCACUCGGGAGGGUAUUUGGAAUGUGCAGAAAGUCAUGCUCGAUCACAAUCAUCAGCUUGUAAGUCCAGAUAAGAGGCACAUGCUUAGAUCGCAGCGUCAACUCUUAGAUGCCGAUCGCCAUAUGAUUAAGCAGAUGAGGACAUCGGGAAUUAAACAAGCUGAAAUAUAUGAUUUCUGUGAGCUUUGGUAUGGUAAAGAUGCAGUACCCUUCUUGCAAAUGGAUUGCAACAUUUUUUUACGAAGUGAGCGCUCAAAGUAUUUGGAAACUAAAGAUGCUCAAACAUUAACAGAGCAUCUAAAGAACAAGCAAGCUGAGGACCCUUCGUUUUUCUACGCCAUGCAACUAGAUGAUGAUAAUGGCACAAUAAUGAAUAUCUUCUGGACCGAUGGACAAGCUAUCAUGGAUUACUCUGUCUUUGGAGAUGCCAUUUCCUUUGACACCACAUUUUCAACAAAUAAGUUUCAAAUGCCAUUCGCUCCGUUUAUUGGUGUUAAUCAUCACAAACAGACUAUUGUUUUUGGUGCAGCACUCUUAUAUAAUGAAACUGCAGAUACCUUUGAGUGGGUUUUUAGAACCUUCCUACAAGCUAUGUCUGGUAAGCAGCCUGAAAUAAUAUUCACCGAUCAAUGUGCUGCCAUUAUAAAUGCUAUUGGAAGGGUUUUUCCGGAAACACGACAUCGUCUUUGUUUAUGGCAUUUGUACCAGAAUGCCGCUAAACAUCUAAGCCAUGUAAUUAGCGACCAUCCUUUGUUCCUUAAAGAAUUCAAAAGAUGUGUGUAUGAAGAUAGAUCAGUGGCACAUUUUGAGAAUAGAUGGCAUGAGCUCUUGGUUAAGUACCAGAUUGGGGGAAAUUCUUCGAUAAACAAUCUGUACAAGUUGCGUGAGAAGUGGGCUACUAUUUAUCGUCGGGAGUCUUUUAGUGCAGACAUGACAUCAACACAAAGGAGUGAAGGAAUGAACAAUGUGUUCAAGAAAACUUUCCGCAAAAGAUUAUGCCUUUCAGAAUUGAUACAAGCAUAUGAGAAGUGCAUUGCUCGUCUUCGCCGGAAAGAAAAAUACGAAGACUACAAGUCACGCCAUACCAACCCAGUACUCUGCCUACCUAGCCUACCUUUGUUGAAGACUGCAGCGGAAUCAUAUACUAGGACGCUCUAUUCCGAGUUCGAAGAAGAAUUCAAGAAGCAAUUUAGUUUGUCAUGUAUUUUGCUGAGCACUGAUUACACAGUUAGCACUUACAAGUUGACAUCUUUUGAAUACAAGAAUGAUGAAGCCAUAGUGGCUUUUAAUCCAACUACUUUGGAGAUAUGGUGUUCAUGCAAGUUGUAUUGCUGUAUAGGUAUAUUAUGCAAGCACACUCAUAAGGUUUUGACCUGCUGCAAUAUCAUCACCCUGCCAAGUCAGUUCAUAUUGAACAGAUGGACAAAACAUGCAAAACAAGAAAUUUUUACUUCCAAACCGAAUACCGAUGAUAGCCUAGACUCUAUGUUUGCACAUACUUCUCGAAAAAUGAUGUCACUUGCAUUGAAGUGUAAAACUUCGAAGGAGGUUCUUACAUAUCUGAACGUUGGUAUUGAUAAGUUGGCUUUGGAAGCACAUGAAUUACUUGGCAAUCUAAACUUAGAUGAGGAUGAUGAUUCUGAAAGUUCCUCCGAAAUGAAUGAAUAUGUUGCCAAGACAAUGGUGUCAUUCAAAGCUCCUGAACGAAUAAAAGGUCCAAUGAAAAAAAGAUCAAAAGAUGUUCUAGAGGGAGCAAAGAAAGGGAAAAGGAAAGGAAAAAGUACAAACCAUCCAGCAAAGGAGUCGGUGCUUGUUCCACCUACAAUUGGCCCUUCAGAAUUCGCCGGUGCAGCAAAGGAGUCUGCUCACUAUAUAUUGUUUGCAGCUGUGGCCGCCGCCCCCGGUGCUCUCCCCCGCGGCUGGACUGACCUGACAGUGUGCAAAGAAGACAGCCCCAAAACUGACGACCAAGGGUACAUCUUGCCAACGAUUUGA
rnacentral:rRNA from 1 species